rnacentral:lncRNA from 1 species
GGUAUCUUGUCAACGUGAAGUGAUAACAUUCUAGUGGAGUAAAACAAGAAAAUAGAAGUCAAUACAGGAGUUCUUCAAUUAUAGGAAAAUCAGGAUUUCACAUACAAUCCUAAGAACCCAUACAAGAAAGAAUAAUGCUUAAGUGAUACAGGAAAUUCCCUGAAACGACUGCCCAAUGGUCAAGAAUAUGACAACAGUAUAACUGUGGCCAAAACAAAUAAUGGAAAAAUGUGAAAUAAAUUAAUCCUUAAUUCUCA